rnacentral:rRNA from 1 species
CGGCCCACCGAGGCGACGAUGCGUAGGGGUUCUGAGAGGAAGGUCCCCCACACUGGUACUGAGACACGGACCAGACUCCUACGGGAGGCAGCAGUGAGGAAUAUUGGUCAAUGGCCGGGAGGCUGAACCAGCCAAGUCGCGUGAGGGAAGACGGCCCUACGGGUUGUAAACCUCUUUUGUCAGGGAGCAAGAGGCGGGUCGAGACCUGCUGUGAGAGUACCUGAAGAAAAAGCAUCGGCUAACUCCGUGCCAGCAGCCGCGGUAAUACGGAGGAUGCGAGCGUUAUCCGGAUUUAUUGGGUUUAAAGGGUGCGCAGGCGGAGGCACAAGUCAGCGGUAAAAUCGCGGGGCUCAACCCCGCUCCGCCGUUGAAACUGUGUCCCUUGAGUGCGCGAAGGGUAGGCGGAAUGCGUGGUGUAGCGGUGAAAUGCAUAGAUAUCACGCAGAACUCCGAUCGCGAAGGCAGCCUACCGGCGCGCAACUGACGCUCAUGCACGAAAGCGUGGGUAUCGAACAGGAUUAGAUACCCUGGUAGUCCACGCAGUAAACGAUGAAUGCUAUCUGUCCGGCCGGAAUGACGGCUGG